UACGUAGGGUGCAAGCGUUGUCCGGAAUUAUUGGGCGUAAAGAGCUCGUAGGUGGCCUGUCGCGUCGGCUGUGAAAACUCGGGGCUCAACUCCGAGCUUGCAUUCGAUACGGGCAGGCUAGAGUUCGGUAGGGGAGACGUGAAUUCCUGGUGUAGCGGUGAAAUGCGCAGAUAUCAGGAGGAACACCGGUGGCGAAGGCGGGUCUCUGGGCCGAUACUGACGCUGAGGAACGAAAGCGUGGGGAGCAAACAGG
rnacentral:rRNA from 1 species